CCUACGGGUGGCAGCAGUGGGGAAUCUUCCGCAAUGGGCGAAAGCCUGACGGAGCAACGCCGCGUGAUCGAAUGAAGGCCUUCGGGUUGUAAAGAUCUGUUGACAGGGACGAAUAAGCAAUGCGAAUAGUUUUGUGUAUGACGGUACCUGUUUAGAAAGCUCUGGCUAACUACGUGCCAGCAGCCGCGGUAAUACGUAGGGAGCAAUCGUUGUCCGGAAUUACUGGGCGGAAAGGGGGGGUAGGUGGAGUGUCAAGUUAGCGGUAAAAUUUUGGGGCUCAACGCCGUCGUGCCGUUGAAACUGACGGCCUUGAGUGAGUGAGAAGUAAGCGGAAUGCGUGGUGUAGCGGUGAAAUGCAUAGAUAUCACGCAGAACGCCGAUUGCGAAGGCAGCUUACCGGCGCUCAACUGACGCUGAGGCACGAAAGUGCGGGUAUCGAACAGGAUUAGAUACCCCGGUAGUC
rnacentral:rRNA from 1 species